GACGAACGCUGGCGGCGUGCUUAACACAUGCAAGUCGAACGGAAAGGCCCUGCUUUUGUGGGGUGCUCGAGUGGCGAACGGGUGAGUAACACGUGAGUAACCUGCCCUUGACUUUGGGAUAACUUCAGGAAACUGGGGCUAAUACCGGAUAGGAGCUCCUGCUGCAUGGUGGGGGUUGGAAAGUUUCGGCGGUUGGGGAUGGACUCGCGGCUUAUCAGCUUGUUGGUGGGGUAGUGGCUUACCAAGGCUUUGACGGGUAGCCGGCCUGAGAGGGUGACCGGCCACAUUGGGACUGAGAUACCGCCCAGACUCCUACGGGAGGCAGCAGUGGGGAAUAUUGCACAAUGGGCGGAAGCCUGAUGCAGCAACGCCGCGUGCGGGAUGACGGCCUUCGGGUUGUAAACCGCUUUCGCCUGUGACGAAGCGUGAGUGACGGUAAUGGGUAAAGAAGCGCCGGCUAACUACGUG
rnacentral:rRNA from 1 species